rnacentral:piRNA from 1 species
UAACAGAACUGUUUCAUAAUU